GAUGAACGCUGGCGGCGUGCCUAAUACAUGCAAGUCGAGCGAACGGACGAGAAGCUUGCUUCUCUGAUGUUAGCGGCGGACGGGGGAGUAACACGUGGAUAACCUACCUAUAAGACUGGGAUAACUUCGGGAAACCGGAGCUAAUACCGGAUAAUAUUUUGAACCGCAUGGUUCAAAAGUGAAAGACGGUCUUGCUGUCACUUAUAGAUGGAUCCGCGCUGCAUUAGCUAGUUGGUAAGGUAACGGCUUACCAAGGCAACGAUGCAUAGCCGACCUGAGAGGGUGAUCGGCCACACUGGAACUGAGACACGGUCCAGACUCCUGCGGGAGGCAGCAGUAGGGAAUCUUCCGCAAUGGGCGAAAGCCUGACGGAGCAACGCCGCGUGAGUGAUGAAGGUCUUCGGAUCGUAAAACUCUGUUAUUAGGGAAGAACAUACGUGUAAGUAACUGUGCACAUCUUGACGGUACCUAAUCAGAAAGCCACGGCUAACUACGUG
rnacentral:rRNA from 1 species